rnacentral:rRNA from 1 species
CCCUUAGAUGUCCUGGGCCGCACGCGCGCUACACUGAUGCAUUCAACGAGUUUUACCUUGGCCGAGAGGCCUGGGCAAUCUUUUAAACCCGCAUCGUGAUAGGGAUAGAUUAUUGCAAUUAUUAAUCUUGAACGAGGAAUUCCUAGUAAACGCAGAUCAUCAAUCUGCAUUGAUUACGUCCCUGCCCUUUGUACACACCGCCCGUCGCACCUACCGAUUGAAUGGUCCGGUGAAGCCUCGGGAUUGUGGCCAGUUCACUUUAUUGGGAGUUGGCUGCGAGAACUUGUCUAAACCUUAUCAUUUAGAGGAAGGUGAAGUCGUAACA